GGCCGACUAGCUCAGUUGGUUAGAGCGUGGUACUAAUACACUAUUGUGUGUAAUGCCAAGGUCGUCAGUUCGAUCCUGGCGUUGGCCA
rfam:Ceriporiopsis subvermispora B unplaced genomic scaffold CERSTscaffold_4, whole genome shotgun sequence.